rnacentral:rRNA from 1 species
UGGGGAAUUUUGCACAAUGGAGGAAACUCUGAUGCAGCGACGCCGCGUGAGUGAUGAAGAUCUUCGGAUUGUAAAACUCUGUCCUUAGUGAAGAUAAUGACAGUAACUAAGAAGCAAGCCCUGGCUAAAUCCGUGCCAGCAGCCGCGGUAAUACGUAUGGGGCAAGCGUUGUCCGGAAUUAUUGGGCGUAAAGGGUACGUAGGCGGUUUAAUAAGUCCUAAUUAAAAGGCUAUGGCUCAACCAUAGUAUGGUUAGGAAACUGUUGAACUUGAGUAGAUGAGGGGAAAGUGGAAUUCCAUGUGUAGCGGUGAAAUGCGUAGAUAUAUGGAGGAACACCAAUGGCGAAGGCAACUUUCUGGAAUCAAACUGACGCUGAGGUACGAAGGCGUGGGGAGCAAACAGG